rnacentral:rRNA from 1 species
UACGAAGGGUGCAAGCGUUACUCGGAAUUACUGGGCGUAAAGCGUGCGUAGGCGGUUUGUUAAGUCUGAUGUGAAAGCCCUGGGCUCAACCUGGGAAUGGCAUUGGAUACUGGCAACCUAGAAUGUGGUAGAGGGUGGCGGAAUUCCCGGUGUAGCAGUGAAAUGCGUAGAUAUCGGGAGGAACAUCAGUGGCGAAGGCGGCCAUCUGGAUCAACACUGACGCUGAGGCACGAAAGCGUGGGGAGCAAACAGG